rnacentral:sRNA from 1 species
AGUGAACUUCGUUUGAAGUGGAAAUCCUUUUUGAGGCUUUUUCUGCCUCAAAAAGAUUGCAACGAAAGGAGCCCGACC